rnacentral:lncRNA from 1 species
UAACCUAUGCCACGCGAGACCUGCAUAUCAUAUCACAUAUCUCCCCAUACGCCGGUACAACCAACGCCACAUAUGGGGUCUGUCGACACGCCGGAUAACCUACGCCACGUGCGACCUCAACAUAUUAUCACAAUAUCUCCCCAUACACCGGUACAACCAACACCACGUAUGGGGUCUAUCUCAACACCGGAUAACCUACACCACGCGAGACCUGCAUAUCAUAUCACAUAUCUCCC